rnacentral:SRP_RNA from 1 species
GCGGGGACUAGCCCGGGUGGUUCGACGUCACCUGUCACCCGAAACCGCCGGCACGCGGGGGGCGAAGUCCGAGGAAGACUCCGGCGAUCUGCCCACGUUUUGUGCAACCUGACGGAGAAGCCUCGUCCUGUGAGGUCAAUGGACAGGGAUCGAAGCCCCGGAGGGGGCGGGGACCUGCUGCCGCGGGGACCGGUCCAGGCCCGGAAGGGAGCAGACUCACCGCGGACAUCUGGCGCCCACGGGGGAGCGGGGUGGAGGAGGGCUGCGCAGGCUGGGGCGGGGCACGUGGUGCCGACCGAGGACGUGUCCCCAC